AUGCCUUUGCCUGUUCCUGUUGCUCCAUGGGAGGACAUUUCUAUGGACUUCGUCUUGGGCUUGCCAAGAACAAGACAAGGAAGUGAUGUUGUAUUUGUGGUCGUGGAUAGAUUCUCUAAGAUGGCUCAUUUCAUCCCAUGCCGCAAGACAACGGAUGCUCAUCAUGUGGCAAACCUAUUCUUUCGAGAAGUGGUCAGACUUCAUGGAGUUCCAAGGUCCAUUGUCUCAGACCGUGAUAGCAAGUUUCUUGCUGCAUUUUGGCUCACUGUGUGGAAGCAAUUCAACACUGAAUUGAAAUUUUCUAGCACUGCUCAUCCACAAACAGAUGGACAAACGGAAGUGGUGAACAAGUUUUUGGGUAAUCUGAUCUGUUGCAUUUGUGGAGAAAGAAAGGGGCAAUGGGAUUUGGCUUUAUCUCUUGCAGAGUUCUCCUACAAUAACUCCAAGCAUAGAUCCACAGGAAGGAGCCCUUUUUCCAUUGUCUACACUAAAGUUCCAACACAUGUGGUGGACCUGGUGAAGCUGCCAUCAAGGGGAAACUCAAAAUCAGCAUUGUCCUUUGCUGAUAAUUACACCGAGUUAUUUGAAGAGAUUCGCGGCGCUUUGGAAGCACAAAAUCAGAAAUAUAAACAACUUGCUGAUUGCAAAAAGAGGCCAAAAUCAUUCCAAAUCGGUGAUAAGGUGAUGGUCUACCUCCGAAAAGAGAGGCUGCCUUUAGGUGUUAAAGGGAAAGUUAGGCAGCGAAGGUAUGGACCCUUCUCUAUCAUGAGGAAGAUAAAUGAUAAUGCUUAUGUGAUAGAUCUUCCAAGUGACAUGGGUAUCUCCAACACUUUCAAUGUUGCGGACUUGACUCUCUACCAUCCAGAAGAAGCGCUCUAUGAAGAUAACUCGAGGGCGAGUUCCAAACAACCAGGGGAGAAUGAUGAGGAACACUAG
rnacentral:rRNA from 1 species